AACGAACGCUGGCGGCAUGCCUAACACAUGCAAGUCGAACGAGACCUUCGGGUCUAGUGGCGCACGGGUGCGUAACGCGUGGGAACCCGCCCUUAGGUUCGGAAUAACUCCCCGAAAGGGGUGCUAAUACCGGAUAAUGUCUUCGGACCAAAGAUUUAUCGCCUUUGGAUGGGCCCGCGUUGGAUUAGCUAGUUGGUAGGGUAAAAGCCUACCAAGGCGACGAUCCAUAGCUGGUCUGAGAGGAUGAUCAGCCACACUGGGACUGAGACACGGCCCAGACUCCUACGGGAGGCAGCAGUGGGGAAUAUUGGACAAUGGGCGAAAGCCUGAUCCAGCAAUGCCGCGUGAGUGAGGAAGGCCUUAGGGUUGUAAAGCUCUUUUACCCGGGAUGAUAAUGACAGUACCGGGAGAAUAAGCUCCGGCUAACUCCGUG
rnacentral:rRNA from 1 species